AAAUUUAUUUGGCUCAUGGUUCCACAGAUUGUAUGAGAAACAUGGAAUCAGCAUCUGCUUCUGGUGAGGGCUUCAGGAAGACUCCAGUCAUGGCAGGAGUGAAGGAGCCAACAUGUGCAGAGAUUACCUAACAGGAGAGGAAGCAAGAAAGGCAGAGUGGAGGUGCCUUCUUUUUUUCAACAACCAGCUUUCAUGGAAAAUAAUAGGGCAAGAAAUUAUUCAUUACCAGGAGGAUGGCAACAAAGCAUUUAUGAGAGAUCUGCUAUGAACAAACACCUCCCAUUAAGCCCCAUCUUCAACACCGGGGAUCAAAUAUCAACAUAGGUUUGGAGGGGCAAGUAUUCAAAUUAUAGCAGCAUAUAAAGAGAAAAUGAAGAAUAGAAUCUUAAAGAAAAACUCAUUUUAAAAGUUAAAUUUAAAAAAAAAAACAUGAAGGAGUUUGAAAAGAAACAAUAAAAGAUGUACGCUAGCAAUUAGAAUUAAAUGGCCAUCACCAAGGCUAAGGAAGAAGUUCAAUGAGUGACAAAUCAGAAGCGUGAGUUGGAAGAAGGAGCCUGAAGAUACGAUGCCUUCCCAUCUAUCCCCUGCUAUGGCAAAGGGUCUUGCCUAUUGCUUGGCUGGUACAUUUCAUUCAUGGGAG
rnacentral:lncRNA from 10 species